GAAAUGCGAUAACUAGUGUGAAUUGCAGAAUUCCGUGAAUCAUCGAGUCUUUGAACGCACAUUGCGCCCCCUGGUAUUCCGGGGGGCAUGCCUGUCCGAGCGUCAUUUCUGCCCAUCAAGCACGGCUUGUGUGUUGGGUCGUCGUCCCCUCUCCGGGGGGGACGGGCCCCAAAGGCAGCGGCGGCACCGCGUCCGAUCCUCGAGCGUAUGGGGCUUUGUCACCCGCUCUGUAGGCCCGGCCGGCGCUUGCCGAACGCAAAUCAAUCUUUUUCCAGGUUGACCUCGGAUCAGGUAGGGAUACCCGCUGAACUUAAGC
rnacentral:misc_RNA from 1 species